rnacentral:rRNA from 1 species
UACAGAGGGUGCGAGCGUUAAUCGGAAUUACUGGGCGUAAAGCGCGCGUAGGCGGCUUUGCAAGUCGAGUGUGAAAUCCCCAGGCUCAACCUGGGAACUGCAUUCGAGACUGCAUAGCUAGAGUAUGGGAGAGGGAAGUGGAAUUUCAGGUGUAGCGGUGAAAUGCGUAGAUAUCUGAAGGAACAUCAGUGGCGAAAAGCGACUUCCUGGACCAAUACUGACGCUUAUGUGCGAAAGCGUGGGGGAGCAAACAGG